GACGAACGCUGGCGGCGUGCUUAACACAUGCAAGUCGAACGGAAAGGCCUUUUCGGAGGUACUCGAGUGGCGAACGGGUGAGUAACACGUGGGUGAUCUGCCCUGCACUCUGGGAUAAGCCUGGGAAACUGGGUCUAAUACCGGAUAGGACCGCACUUUAGUGUGUGUGGUGGAAAGUUUUUUCGGUGUAGGAUGAGCCCGCGGCCUAUCAGCUUGUUGGUGGGGUAAUGGCCUACCAAGGCGGCGACGGGUAGCCGGACUGAGAGGUUGGUCGGCCACAUUGGGCUUGGGGUAGGGCCCGACCUCCAACGGAAGCAGGAGGUGGGGAUUUUUCCACAAUGGGGGCAAGCCUAAUGCACCGCGCCGCCGUGGGGAUGACGGCCUUCGGGUUGUAAACUCCUUUCGCCAGGGACGAAGCGUUUUGUGACGGUACCUGGAGAAGAAGCACCGGCUAACUACGUG
rnacentral:rRNA from 1 species